CUCGCCGGGUAGGGUAAAAGGCACAGCAGCAGGACUGUGCGCCGCUGUGGAUAAAAGGCUACAGGGGUUGGCUCAGCUGCCUUUUCCACUGGCACGACUGUCAGAGCCGGUCGGUGGCGUCUCUCUCUCUCUCUCUCUCUCUCUCUUCCUCUCUUUCUCUCCAUCGGUGUCCUCUUGGCCAUCUACACCCUCACCCCCCUCUUCCGCUUUCUCCUCCUCUCCGUCUUUUUUCCGUAAAACUUUGCCGGAGGGAUACCCUACCUGUCCUCAGGUCCGGCGUGGGAGAGCCGAGAGGAGGGCGAGCGAGGCAGGGGACGGAAGGAGGGGCUACGGGGCAUCUCCGGCUUUUACCUGCGAGGCACCACAAAACGCUGGAGUUGUGAAGUGUUCCCACCCUUGGAUAAGUUGGACCCGGGGAAGCUCUCAUUGCUGUCUGGCACCCCGGAGAAGUUACGAGGAAGGUGGCAGGAUGGAUAAGAGGUUUUUGACAGGAGAUGAAGCCCUGCAGGAGUUUCAUGGGCUUCUGGACAAGACUCUUUCUGUGGAAGAGAAAGUGAACGCAACCUCCAUCCCCACCUCGCCCCUCCAGUGCACUCCCACCCCCUCACUCACCUCCACCAUAAGUACAUGGAGAUUAGCCCACUAGUGGGCCAGUCGCGCCUUGCAAAUCAGGUUUUAGAAGCAAAUUGAGACGUAUGAAAUGUACCAUUGAAGUGAGUGAUUUGAAGUGAAUGAGGCAGUCCACGAGUAGCUGUAAAUCAGUCCUGACAGCCCAAUGGAGGGAACUGACGGAGCCCCGUAAUCACAACCAGCAUCCACUGGAGGUAUUGAUCCGGAGCCUUCCAUAACUCUCCUCCACAUAACACAGGCAAUUUUGUGUAAUACCUAUAAUAACAUGGCAUUCAAACUCAAGUAGCCAUCACAGGCUUUGUAUCUAAUAUGGGGGUGAAGGCCUGCAAAUCUGUGAAAACAGAUGCAACACCUUCAGUGAUUCUGUCUGUGCCUUUCUCUCACUCGCUUUCACGCUCGCUGUGUAUACAGUACAAUCUAUGUAUUUUCAUGGGUGUCGGCCACUUGACAGAUAUGAUUCUUUGAAAAUGAUUGACGUGGUUCAGAUGUCAAAAUGAAAUUGGUUGUUAAAUGAUCUGUUCUUUUUGAGUUUUGAGGUUUGUUUGCAAGCUGACACUCUUUGUACUGUGAUGUGUUGGGAAUUAUUAAAGUGAACACUUAAACAUGCUCUUCAAAGAAAAAAAACAAGCAUUUCCCAUAAUUCUCUGGUCUAGUACCAGUUUACAUUUAUGACAAAGCUACUUUGGGGUGGAACAGUUGAGUAUGUACACUGCUUAAAAAAGAAUGAGGGUAGCUGUAUAAUAAAUGUAAUAGAUAAAGAGCCAUCAUGAUCUCCAUCUGGGAACAGGAGCAUCUAGUAGCUGGAUGAAUUUUUUUUUUUCUGAGAAUUUAUUUUUAUAAUUAUUUUAUGAACUUCACAUAAAUUACUUGGAUGUCUAUGCCCAUAAGUGCAGUUGUUUUUUCUUCAAACAAGAUUAUUAUUUUUUGUCUCCAGUCUAAUUCCAUUUCUCAACAACUCAGAUGGAAAUCCUCUAGCUCCAUUGAUACCUGUUUUCACUUUUCACUUUUUUUCAGUGCAAAGUUGAAAAUCAAAAUGUGUGCUGUUUGGCUUUGGACUCUCAAUGUGUGUGUGUAUAUGUGUCCCUUGUGUUAACAUGUUGUGUGUCACCCCUCCUGAGGAUCACUGCACUGUCUUAUCAAAGCCACACAAGCCUUCUCAUUAAUAUAUAGUCCAGACUGCUGGCUUCUAUACAUCAUUGUCUUGCCUUGGAAGCGGGUUAAUCACUCAAGUAUUAUCAGUCUGGAAGCAGAAGGUAGGCAAUCACACUGACAGCAGAGAAUCAUGGGAGAUCAGCUGGGGUUAAACGAGGCCGACGGUUGGGAUAAUGAUGAUUUGGCUAUAAAUGAAGAAGGUGAUAACAGAUGGAGAAAUGCUUGGUAGACAAAUGUUGUUGUACGUGUUGAUUUAUUUAUUUAUUUAUUUAUUCGCCUAUU
ensembl:lncRNA